UACGAAGGGGGCUAGCGUUGUUCGGAAUUACUGGGCGUAAAGCGCGCGCAGGCGGCUAUCCAAGUCAGUGGUGAAAGCCCGGGGCUCAACCCCGGAACUGCCUUUGAAACUAGGUAGCUAGAAUCUUGGAGAGGUCAGUGGAAUUCCGAGUGUAGAGGUGAAAUUCGUAGAUAUUCGGAAGAACACCAGUGGCGAAGGCGACUGACUGGACAAGUAUUGACGCUGAGGUGCGAAAGCGUGGGGAGCAAACAGG
rnacentral:rRNA from 1 species